rnacentral:rRNA from 1 species
UACGUAGGGUGCGAGCGUUUGUCCGGAAUUAUUGGGCGUAAAGAGCUCGUAGGCGGUUUGUCACGUCUGCUGUGAAAUCCCGAGGCUCAACCUCGGGCCUGCAGUGGGUACGGGCAGACUGGAGUGCGGUAGGGGGAGAAUGGAAUUCCUGGUGUAGCGGUGGAAUGCGCAGAUAUCAGGAGGAACACCGGUGGCGAAGGCGGUUCUCUGGGCAUGACCUGACGCUGAGGAGCGAAAGCAUGGGGGAGCGAACAGG